rnacentral:rRNA from 1 species
AGUUAACGCUGGCGGUAGGCCUAACACAUGCAAGUCGAACGGCAGCACAGUAAGCGCUUGCUCUUACGGGUGGCGAGUGGUGGACGGCUGAGCAAUACAUCGGAAUCUACUUUUUCGUGGGGGCUAACGUAGGGAAACUUACGCUAAUACCGCAUACGACCUACGGCUGAAAUCAGUGGAUCUUUGGACCUUGCGCGAUUUAAUGACCCGAUGUCGGAUUAGCUAGUUGGCGGGGUAAAGGCCCACCAAGUCGACGAUCCGUAGCUGCUCUGACAGGAUGCUCAGCCCCACUGAGCCUGCAACACGCUUCAGAAUCCUACGGCAGGCCGCAGUGCGCAAUAUUGGGCAACAGGCAGAAGCCUGCUCCAGCGAUCCCGCGUGAGUGAGGAAGGCCUUAGGGUUGUAGAGCCCUUUUGUUGGGAAAGAAAAGCAGCACAUUAAUACCCAGCUGUUCUGACGGUACCCAACGAAUAAGCACCGGCUACCUUCGUG